UCUUAAAAACAAAAACACCAUCUCACUUCUAAUACUGUCAAAAAUAACACUUAGAAACAAAACAUGUUUAAGACUUGUACACUAAAAACCAUAAACCACUGAAAAAAACUGAAGACCUAAAUGAAACAUCCCAUGUUACAAACUAGAAGCCUUAUUAACAGUGUUGAGAUAGUAAUACUCUCUAAGUUGAUGAACAGAUUCAAUGUAAUCCUUAUCAAAAUCUCAAACUGACAAGCUAAACCUAAAAUUUACACAGAAAUGCAAGGCCCUCUGAAUAACCAAAACAAUCUUGAAAAAGAACAAAUCUGGACAAAUUUGGAAUAGGGUUGAGUCCAGAAAUAAACCAUUACAUUUAUGGUCAAAUGAUUUUUGACAAGGAUGCCAGGUCAACUCAACACAGUAAAGAAUAGUCUUUUCAACAAAUGGUGCUGAGACAACUAGAUAGCCACACACAACAGAAUGAAGGUGGACCCCUUACCACAAGCCAUAUACAAAAACAAUAAUAAGACAACCCAACUUAAAAAUAGGCAAAAAAUUUAAAUACACAUUUCUUCAAGAUAUACAAAUGGCUAACCAGCACAUGAAAAGAAGGUUCAACAUCAUUAGUCAUUGGGAAAAUGGAAAUCAAGACCAUAAUGAAAUGCCACUUCACAUCCUCUAGAAUGGCUACAAUAAAAAAGACAAUUACAAUGUAAUGAUUAAAAAAUUAUCAAAUUGGAAGUCUUGUACAGUGGGACUGUUAAGAUGAUGUAGUCACGUUGGAAAACACUGGCAGUUCUCAAAAAAGUAAACAAAGAGGUACCACAUAGCCUAGCAAUUCUACAACUAGGUAUAGAUAAAAGAGAACUGAAAAUGUACAUUCACACAAAAAACCUGUACACAAAUAUUCACAGCAGCAUUAUUCAUUAUAGUCCCAUGGUGGAAUCAACUCAAAUAAACAUCCAUCAACUGAUGACGGAUUAACAAGAUGUAGUAUAUAUAUCCACACAAUGGAGUAUCAUUUCCAACAAUUAAGUCCUAUAUAACAUGGAUGAAACUUGAAAACAUCCUAAGUGAAAUGAAAGCAGCCAGUCACCAAAGACCAUAUAUUUCAUGAUUCCACAUAAACGAAACAUUCAAAUAAACACAUUUACAGAAACAAAAGGAGAUUAGUUUCUGCCACUGCUGGAGCGAUAAGGAAUAGGGAAGUGACUGCUAAUGACCAUGAAGUUUCUUUUUGGUAAAAUAAAAUGUUCUAAAAUGGACGGUAGUGAUGGCUGCACGAUCCUGAAAACACAGACUAAACUACUCAACUGUAUACUUUAAAAGUGUGAAUUCUAUAGUAUGGAAAUUGUAUCUCAAAAACAAAACAAAACACAUUAGGCCAAAAGCAAAACAAACAAGUCACAGACAACUUAAAAACACGUAAGUAUAGCUGUGUUCCAAUACAACUUUACAAGAAUAGACAGCCCAAGAGCUGUAGUUUGCCAACCCUUAAACAAUCAUUAAGAAAAAAAAAAAAAAAAUCUGCAUAUACUUGGAAAGUUGUCCAAAUUAUGACAAAUUCAUAUUUGAGAAUACUAUAUGUAUUUAUAAUGUGUCCCUAACUUAUUUUUAAAAAUUAUUUUAUCAAGUAAUAUAAAUACAAUGUUAUAUGUAACUACAUAUAAAAUUAAAAUUACAUAUAAUUAUAAGGAAAUAAAUAAAUUGAUAGAUAAGUAGAAGCACAGGGGAAAAAGUAUGAAGUAAUAUGUACCAAAAUGUUAACCAUGGAAGAGGUAAAUUUGGAGGGAGGAUACUUUCAUUUCCCACUUUACCCUUAUCUCACUUAUGUUUUUAAUUUGUAUAAAUAUAUUCUUGCCCAUUUUUAGCUCAUAUUUUAAAACUACAUGCUAUUAUAUACAAAAUAUCAAUAAAAAAUGGGUAAGAGGAUGAACACAAAGUGCUAACACACAUUAUAUCUGAGCUCUUGGAUUAGAGAUUUUAAAAUCAGAUGUAUACAAUUCUACAGUUCUAGAAAUAUUUUUUACAACAAUCAGAAAAUUAAGAUUUUCUUACCAAAAGGGGAAACCAACCAAUUUUCAGAGCCACUACCCUAGCAGAUUUACGGUCAGGUGAAGACUUUAUCUUCCUAUCCAGGGAGAAGGUAUCUCUAUGUCAGUUUGGAAGAACUUAUUUGAUGAGAGAAUUUAUUAGGCUUUAAGAAAUAUAUGUGGCUAGUAACUGAAGUUGAGGACUUCAAUAAAGAAGAGUUAAGUUGUUUUUCUUACUUCUUCACACUGCUCUUUGAAAGCAAAAUAGCUUCUUUGCUCUGCCAUUAACCUUGAUGAGAUUCUUGUCCCAAGUACUUUUUAACUUACCUAGAAUACAAAAGGCAGAGAACGAAGCCUGUCAGCCCAAUAAAAUUCUCUAGAUCUAUAAAAUGCCCACCCUUUGAGGGUGGUGCAGAGGUAGGAACUAUGGCAGUUGAAUUUCCAGGAGCCAAGGUUGGUGCGGUCAUAUGCGUCACAAUGGUCCAGAGGCCAGGGUUGCAGGAACGAUCUGAAAGUGGAAGACUUUUUAUUAUCUUUAGUUAGAGAUUCUCUUGUUCCAGGAAGGGAUGUGAGGGAUGUGCUCACACAUCAUUCAGUCAUGAUGUAAAACAUGGGAAUGCUAGACUUAAAAGAACCUGCAAACUCAGCAAUUAGUUACCUACUUGUGUUGCAAUCAGGGACUUAGUUUUAGAAAAAAAAGAAAAGAUACAACAAAGCAUUUGUCAAAUUUCAUAAAUGUCUAUCUUGACUUUACGGAUUUUGACGUUUAACUGGCAAAUCUUUUUGGGUCUGUUGUACAAAGGCUUUAAAGCACCGGGAGUUUUUCUGCUAGCUUUGUUUUUACAAGGUUAUUAAAGAGGAGUACAAUAGCAGUAAGUUGAGUCAUCAUUGAAGGGUCUGCUGUAACCAUUUUCCUUUAAAACAAGUCCAUAGAAUGCACUAUCUCAAUACAGUACAAUGCAGUAACUACAGAAGGAGGUUUCUACAGCCAUUUCCUCUAGAGCCUGUAACACCACAGUGAAAUUCAAUUACAACAAUGCUACAAAGGGCCAAAACAAUGGUGCCUUGUCCAACUCUUGACUAGUUGACUUAUUCCAGGGAAAAGCCUAGACUGUGUAAGGACUGCGGUCCUUUAGGCUGUCAGCUAUGAACAGCUGCAGACAGACAUGGAGAAUAAAACUUGAAAUGUGAGUAUCUGCAUCAUCAUACAGUGAACACAGUCCAUUUAAGUGAAGCUUUUUGUUUGUUCGCCUGUUUGGUAUUUGCUUCACCUCUAGUUUUUGCACCUGCCAAAGGAGUCAUUUCCUACUUUCUCUCCAUCAAAUGAAUGUGCUAUUGACAUUCCCUUACCGGGUUCAUUUGACAUGGCUGACCAGGUGAGGUACAUGGUGUAGAGGGUGAUGAGAGAGGACUGCAGGAGACCAGACCGAGGCUGGUGUUCCUAUGGAAUCAAAAAGAAAACAAUGCCACAGGAACUGCAAGGGCUGACUUUCUAAAACCCAGUGGAAUUCCUGGGCCCCCCGUGAAAUGUUAUUAACUGAGAACCUUCUUAUUCUAUUUGACAGUUGAAAGAGAACAAAUAACCUUUCAGUCUGAGUUGGCCUGAAAAAGAACCAAGAAAGAGGAACCGUGUACUAUUGGUUCCCCAGGCAUUUGAUAGCUCUGGAAUGCCUGUGUAUUCCGCAGAGGCUUUGAUUUUAGUCCCUUGGUGGCAUAGAGACUAAGCUCAACGGCGGUGCUAACCAGCUAGGUGACCCAUCAUCUCUCUGGACCUUCAGUUUUCUCAUUUUUGGAAGGAGAGGUGAUGUGUACAUCUCUUUUCCUAUUUCUUAUAUAAAGCUCCAUGAAUUUUUUUAAGUGACUCUUCAGGUACAUAUGCAAGAAAGUAGACUGGAAGGAUACAGAGUAAUAUGUUAACAAACUCCAACUGAAAAUGACACUGAAACAACUUCACAUGUACAAUAGGUCAGAAAUAUAUGUGGGCCACUGAUCCAUAUACUCUACUGCUUCCAUGAGAAUGGCAACAUUAACUGCCCAAGGGGAGGAUCCACACAAUAUAAUAUGGUAAGUAAAUAAUAAAAUAAAUUUACAUACCCAUUGUGUACUGCUGCUCUGGGAUCUUUACUUGUUUUUACUUUUAACAUGAGCAGAGAGAAGACAAAGAAAAAGAUGGCCAAGGCAAAGUUGAUCCUAUAUACAGCUUUAUAACCAACAAGAACAUCACAAUCUUUAUCCACCUUCCUAUCAGCCAUGUUGAUUUUAAAUCCCCCUUCACAGAAUCCAGGAAUCUGGAAAAAGCAAUUUCAAUGUUAUGGGAAUAUCCACAUUUAAACAAAGACUGUAUCCUGUCAUAAGAAGGCCUGAGUUUAUAAAACUGACUACAUCAACAACUGCAAGACUGUUUUGUGGGACUUUUCUCUUUGUCUUCCAAUUCACUUACAAUCUUAUCCCCAAAGAGUAGAAACAAUUUGCAUUUCACAAAUAAAAGUGUUCUCUUCUUUGCUCUUCUUGCUGAUGAGGUUAUCUCCCAUUUUGACAUGAAUUUUCAUGCUACAACCGUCUCUUUCCACAGGUGAAGGGCUAUCCUAGGUUAAAUGUUUAACUCUAAAACAUACGUGGAAAGAAUUUUUUUGUGCCACUCUUGUAAUAUCUUUCUUUCAAAUGCUAGAGUAGAGCCUGAAGACGUUUAUUCUGAGUACCCUGAUUUCUGGAAAAGGACUAAUACUUUUAUAUUCUAUGUCCUGACCGUACCCAAAAGUAAUUUAAAAACCAACAAUCACAAUGAAUUUGACUGAGUUUUCUAACAGUAAAGAAAUAAGGACGUUAAUUACAACUACAAUUAUGCAAAAUAGAAAAUACAAAUAACCAGUCCAUUAAGGCUACCGUUACUUCUACUCACCUUCUUCAGCUGCGUUUCCAUCCCUUCCGUCAACAUGAUACAGGACAAAGCAGCACCCAGGAAGAGAAUGAAAGCAUAGAUGAGGCGAGUCACCGUGGAAUUCUUGCUAUUGGGACAGCAACUACACAGCAGACAUGAGGCACCGCUGCAAAGGCAGGGAACCUGUAACAAGCACACCACAGCUAUUUGAGACCUCUUUCAGUGGACUCCUUCAUGUCAUAAAGGUCACAGAGUAGAAGAUGAGGCAAACCAGACUUUAACAGCUUUAACUGAAAGAGUUAUGGCUGGGGGAUCCCGGGGUGGCUCAGUGGUUUAGCGCCUGACUUCAGCCCGGGGCGUGAUGUUGGAGUCCCGGGAUUGAGUCCCACUUCGGGCUCCCUGCACGGAGCCUGCUUCUCCCUCUGCUUGUGUA